rnacentral:rRNA from 1 species
GACCUCGAAUCAGGUAGGAAUACCCGCUGAACUUAAGCAUAUCAAUAAGCGGAGGAAAGAAUCA